rnacentral:rRNA from 1 species
UACAGAGGCGGCAAGCGUUGUUCGGAAUUACUGGGCGUAAAGGGCGAGUAGGUGGCCAUCUAAGUCAGACGUGAAAUCCCCCGGCUUAACCUGGGAACUGCGUCUGAUACUGGACGGCUUGAGUAUGGGAGAGGAACGUAGAAUUCCAGGUGUAGCGGUGAAAUGCGUAGAUAUCUGGAGGAAUACCGGUGGCGAAGGCGGCGUUCUGGACCAUUACUGACACUGAAUCGCGAAAGCUAGGGGAGCAAACGGG